GAUGAACGCUAGCGGCAGGCUUAACACAUGCAAGUCGAGGGGUAUAGGUUUUCGGACCUAGAGACCGGCGCACGGGUGCGUAACGCGUAUGCAAUCUACCUUUCACAGAGGGACAGCCCAGAGAAAUUUGGAUUAAUACCUCAUAGUAUAGCAGUUUCGCAUGAAACCACUAUUAAAGUAUCAACGGUGACAGAUGAGCAUGCGUCCCAUUAGCUAGAUGGUAAGGUAACGGCUUACCAUGGCUACGAUGGGUAGGGGUCCUGAGAGGGAGUUCCCCCACACUGGUACUGAGACACGGACCAGACUCCUACGGGAGGCAGCAGUGAGGAAUAUUGGUCAAUGGACGCAAGUCUGAACCAGCCAUGCCGCGUGCAGGAUGACGGUCCUAUGGAGUGUAAACUUCUUUUGUACGAGAAGAAACAACAUUACGUGUAAUGUCUUGACGGUAUCGUAAGAAUAAGGAUCGGCUAACUCCGUGCCAGCAGCCGCCGUAAGAC
rnacentral:rRNA from 1 species